AUGAUGCUGUUCUGUGUUGUUAUUCCCGUGGCAACAACAGCCAUUAUUUGACACAUCAGCCUGCCUGCCGCAUGCCUGAGCUGCACUGUGCUGGUGUUAGCUGGCUUUACACCUGCAAAAUAAUUGUGCUCUCCCUUCAAGAUCAGGCAUGUGAGCUUCAGCCAUUCUGAGGACAGCUUCACCGGAGCAAAAAAUCCAGUUAAAGAGAGGAACGCAGGAGGCAGAGCUGCUGAGUCAUUCCUCAGCCCUCCUCGGGUAGCCUUGCAGCAACAAGGGGAUCAAAGGGACUGUCUGACCAGGCCUGUUCUCCUGGCUUGUCCUAUGGAUCCAAAGCAGGAAGGAUCCCAGUGCUGACUGCCAGAUCUCCCCCCUCUCUCUGCAAAGGACGUUACAGAGAACGCAGAGCUGUUGGUGAAGAUGAAAACAGGACUGCUGUCUUUUGUUUUGAUGCUUUGCUGUGUUCUGGGAUCACAGGUGCUACUACAAGGUGCAGACAAGUGAGAUUCAUCAUCAGCAACUUCACACAUCUGCAAUGUGAACAUUUACUUCUGAGGAGUCGUCCUGGAUUCCUUUGAAAGUCCAACAAUAUACCUUCCUCUAAAGUAGACAUUGACAUCCUGUUGGGAUAUGCCCUAGAAUACUCCAUUUGUCUUCACAAACCCUAAUGGAGUUAAUUUGUCUUCACAGACCCUAAUGGAGUUCAGCAAAUAGCAGGGAGCAACAUUUAUGCAUGAGGUAUCCAGAUUUAGUGACCUCCGAUUUUCAGUUCUCAUUGAAACUCAAGAUUUUAAAAUCCAGCCUCUGUUCAGCCUUAUUUUCACAUCAGUCAGACAUCUCUGGAGAUGGAAUCGCCCUCUUCUCAAGGCAUGAUUUGAAUUUGUUCACUAAAACAUCUGCACAUAUGGCCCCUCACAGAAACUAUGCUUUCAUGAGUUUCUUGCCUUGGGCCACACCUCUCUUUCAACCCAUCCUCUGGGAAGUGUUUUGUAACAGGGUAAACAAAUGGGAUGGAUGCGUUUCUUUCCAUUGCUUUUUGGGAAAUAAUUGGUGAGCAGGCAUGGACUGGCUCCCCCCGGACAAAUCCAUCAUGAUGUCCUCAUGAGCCUGCCUUCCUGCUGUGCCUGGGUCAUGCCACACAGCACACCAUGGGAUCCUUAGGAUGAAAGGAGCUGUAUGAACAUAACCCAUCUCUACUGAUGCUAAAUGAGGGGGAAAGGGAAAUGUGUGAUUUAAAGCAGUGCCAGCUGUGGUUUAAUACCAGAUAAACCACACCAAGGCUGUUCUCAAACAAUGUUAGCCACUCUGCUCCACUCAUGGCCAGGCAAACUAGGGGGCAAGAAUAAUUUUUCCUAUCAACCCCACAAAGAUCUUUCUGCGCCUGAAUGUCUUGCCUGUAGAGAUAAAGCCAUGGACACUGCUGACAUGUUGCAUUCCUCUUAUCUGGGGCGGUUAUGUCAUCCGGCUGGUGUAAAUCUCCUGCUUCCUUGUGUGCUGCAAGCAAGCUCUGCUGUUGUGAAGAGGCAGUUUGGCUUGGUGCUGCUACCCAAAGCAAGAGGUGUGACUUGUCAGCAAAAAAGUCAUGGGAGUGAUAAUAUGGAGAGUGGCAAAAGGUUGGAAGCUAAGGCAGGGAGCUCAGAAAACACCACACAAUCUGCACAGCGAUCCCUCCUCUCACCAUGUGUCUUAUGUAAGGUGACGAGACUGACUCACUGUGCUGGGAAAUCUCCCGAAAAUCUGGGCAGGACUGCCGUGCUGCAUCUUUGGAAAUGCGAGCCAUCAGGAGCGCCUGUAAAUUGUGCUUUGCCAGACCUUGCAUCUCUUGCAACUUCAGGGGAAUGAGUGAGGCACCAAGUGCUGUGUCAGAUGGCAGUGUUAUGAGAGACAUCAGAAGGGACAUCUCCCACCAGUGGCUGCCCAGGGUCCCCUCCAUCCUGGCCUUCAGCACUUCCAGAGAUGGGGCACCCACAGCUCUCUGGCAGCAGUGCCAGUGCCUCACCACUCUCUGAGCAAAGAAUUUCUUCCUGACGCCUAAUCUAAGUCUCCUCUCUUUUAGUUUAAAACCAUUUCUCCUCGUCCUACCUUAGGAGAGGGUGAGUUGUCCUCAAAACUCCACUGACUGUCACAGACACUUUUCUGUGCCUACAAAGGGAGUGUGGAGUUGCAAACUUGACCACAUACAUUUGCAUCCCAUCAGCUGCAUCUCAGCCUGGGUCUGGUCUGUCUCACGUUGACAUCAGCUUCAUACCAAGAAAACUGCAAUCCUCGGGCCUGAUUUUCCAUGUAAUUGCAGCAGUGUUGAUGAGAUGAGAUUCAGAACCACCAUUUGGCAGUUUUGUCCCCCUAGCUUACGCUCUGACAGACAGUCAUUACAGCAACGUUUUCGUGGCUCCUUUCAUAAAAACAAGCCUUUCAGUUAAGAGUUAUUUGUUUGGAUUGGAGCCAAUUGCAAACUGCUGCUAUCUUAACAGGGUGUCCCGCGAUGCUUUCAGCUACAACGAGGUGUGCAAGAGGUGUUUAGUUUGCUGGCAAUUCUGAAGGAUAACUACAUACAUCUCUGUAGUUCCUGACCUACUGAAAAGUUUCACUCAACCUCGGAGGAAACAUUUCAGUUUGUCUUUAUGUGAAAAAGAAAAACAGAGUGAAAGGAAAUCUCUGAGCAGAAAGACAUCUCACAGCAAAAUCCUUCUCAAGCAGCUUAUUUUUAUAGUUCUAACUGAAUUCAUUUGGCAAAACCGACAGAAAUUCGCAGUCUUUCAGCUUUUUGCACCAGAAAGAGCACUCAGCCCCCCAAAAUCCGCCCACGCUGUUUCUGCUGCGGUGUUCAAAAAGCCACGGGGCGCCGGGCCCUUGCUGGCAGGAUGGGAGGGACGAGGAACAGCCCUGCAGGUUGGUGACAGAAGGUUAGCAAAGGGCUCCUGGAAGCCUUCCCUCUGCCAUACUUGCACGCGGCGAAUGUUCCCGUUACUACUUGCAAGCUGGUCGCAGAGCACAGCAAACACCAGGUACAAUAAAGACCCAGACAGCAGAAUGGAGUAUAAAUAGAUGAUGGAAUUCCUGGCAUUAGCUCUGGAGCAGUUUGGGACUGGAACGAGUGAAAAAUACAGUUUCUCUAAAAGGGAAAUUUCCUGUGAGUAAAAGCCAAAUGUUCCCCCUUGCUCCCCCUCCUUCUUUCCCCAGAUUCCAGUUUUUUCACUGGGGAGAAUCCAAGUGUUUCAAGUGAGUUCAAGCAGAAUUUCGUUGCGUUGAACUGGCCUGAUUUGGGAUGCAAACCGACCUCUGAAACGCUGAAAUUUCCCGUGGGAGCAGAAAUUCGGAAUUUUGCUCAGCUCCAGUUACUCCGCGCGUGGAAAUGGCCUCAAGCAAACAAAUAGCGCAGACAGGAGAUGCGCCCGCCAGGAUUUCACCUCGUGACUGGGAAGGGGAGAGCUGAGCUUCUCAAAAUCAGCCUUUAUAGAUGAGGCUGAAGACAGCCACACAGUAGUCCAUCCAGUAACCUGACCAGGGCAUGGGAAGAUGCUUGGGACUGACCAACAGGCCACAGCCCUGUAUGCCAAUGAUUAAAUGCUGGAGACACUAAUAAAGCCACUUUUUUUUGAAGUUUUCUUCUUUAUUUUCUUUUUCAACAAGUGCCAUCUAUUCCCUGUUUUACACAUGCCAACAUGGAUUGCUACUUGCUCUCCUGAAAGCAGUCUAGCAGUCACACUGGCCAUGGACUCAGCUGUGUGACCAAGAGCUUGCUUGGUCCUCGUACACGUUUAGACCUGUUUUUCUGAUAAGUUUAGCUUGUUUAUGAACAUGCAUGAAACGCUGCACGUGAUAUUCUGUUCUGGUGCAUCUUGUUAGACUGUAUUUUAACUUCACUUAACGUUCUCGUCGAUAGAAUAAACGUCACUAUUCAUAUAAAUCAUUUACAUGUUGAGAUCCUGUGAUAAAGCACGGUAAAAGUGUCUUGCCCACACUAAUGAACUGAGCAAAGCAAACAUCCUGAAAGAUAAGGAGCCUUUUGAAACUUUACGGACAGAAAAAAACAUUUGAUCGUUGAGUCUGAGUCCUUGUAUAUACAAGCCAUAAAAAAUCACCCACGUAUUUCUGCAUUGUGUCCAGUAAUGCAUUCUUGAGUAAUGUGUCUGUUCCUGGAAAUCAUACAGGGCACUGUUCAUUUGCCUAAAUGGAGGUGUAUGGGGUUUUUUGAGAUUGUUUGGGCAUAUGACAUAUCCCUGCAGGUCUAGUAGGAAAUGACACACACCUACAGACUGCUGGGCUCAUGGUGCAGCUGCUGGCAGUGGGGCAGGGCACUUCUAUGGCCAUCAAGAGGUGUGAGAUAUCUCGCUCACCUCCACAUCCUUGUGCAGGGGCCCCAGAGCUGAACACGGCACUGCAGGUGGGGGGUUGCAAGAGCAAAGUAGAGGUGGACAACCAAAUCCCUUGCCCUGCUGGCCACGCUUCUUUUGAUUCAGCCCAAGACGAUGUUGGCUUUCUGAGCUGUGAGGGCACAUUGCUGGAUGUUGAGCUUUUCAUCAGCCAACACCCUUAAGUCCUUCGCAAUAUGUUCACUGCACAGCCUGUAUUUGUGCUUGGGAUUGCCCCAACCCAGGUGCAGGACCUUGCUGUUGGCCUUGUUGAACUCCAUGAGGUUCACAUGGGCCCACUUCUCAAGCCUGGCC